rnacentral:pre_miRNA from 1 species
GUUGAUCGGAAUGUUGUUUGGUACAAGUUCACAUAUGGAUGAUUAUGCUGUUAGUUUAGGGUUUCCAUCUUUUGGAUCCUUUUAUGUGACAUUGGACCAGGUUUUGUUCCAAUCUAC